rnacentral:rRNA from 1 species
GAUUUUAAUAAACGGGAGAAAAGAAACCAACAGGGAUUGCCCCCGUAACCGCGAGGGAAGCGGCAACAAGUCAAAUUUGAAAUUUGGCCCCUAGGGCCCGAGUUGUAAUUUGCAGAGGAUGCUUUUGGCGAGGUGCCUUCCGAGUUCCCUGGAACGGGACGCCAUAGAGGGUGAGAGCCCCGUCUGGUUGGAUGCCGAGCCUCUGUAAAGCUCCUUCGACGAGUCGAGUAGUUUGGGAAUGCUGCUCUAAAUGGGAGGUAUAUGUCUUCUAAAGCUAAAUACCGGCCAGAGACCGAUAGCGCACAAGUAGAGUGAUCGAAAGAUGAAAAGCACUUUGAAAAGAGGGUUAAAUAGUACGUGAAAUUGUUGAAAGGGAAGCACUUAUGACCAGACUUGGACCCGGUGAAUCAUCCAGCGUUCUCGCUGGUGCACUUUGCCGGGCUCAGGCCAGCAUCAGUUUGCCCCGGGGGAUAAAGGCUUUGGGAAUGUGGCUCCCUCGGGAGUGUUAUAGCCCAUUGCACAAUACCCUGGGGCGGACUGAGGUUCGCGCAUCUGCAAGGAUGCUGGCGUAAUGGUCAUCAGUGACCCGUCUUGAAACACGGACCCA